GCUAUCUUGCCCUAGAAAGGGAACUCGGAGGGGACUCACUGACGAAAGGAGCUCCAGAUGGCGGGGGGCCAACCUGGGGCGACCCCCAGCGCCCACUUUCACCAUCUGGACCCCAGCAAACCUCCCUGUGGCCCUUGGUCCCGUCUUCAGCAGCUCCUUCUGGGGUCCCACACCUUCGGAGCCCGGCCCUGCCCCUGAGUCUCUGGAGAGAGCGAGUCAGCAGUUCGCCGCCGCGGGGCUCCCGUUUGCCUAGCACGCCAGUUUCUGUCCAGUUUCACCCCAAAUCCCCACCUCCCCCCACCCCCGAACCUCACGGCCACCCUGGGAAGGAGGCUUGACUUGUGACAUCCACCCCUCUUCACGGCUGAGGAACUUUGGCCCCGAGCGAGGAAGCGACCGGCCCACGGCCACACGCCCGGAGUGGGUGAGGCUAGGAGUGGGCCCGCUCCGGGACCCCUAGGGACCCUACCUCACUUCCGGGAGGGUUGAAGGGGGGCUCCGGAGGGAGGAUCGCCGCCCCCAGAGGGGACAGCCCGGAGGCCCACGUACCGGAUCGCGGCGCGCACAGCGCCCCGCCUGCAGGAGCCCGGGCGCGCUUCCGGGGGGCAGCAUCUUCUACUAUGUGCAUCUACAUUGGAUGGCAGUGGAGCAACACAGAUUGUUUUCUGACAAAAAUCAGCCAAGUACUAGGAGAGGCAGGACUUUAGAAGUGGAGGAGAUGGAGAAGGAAGCUUAGGUUACUAUGGAGUGUGCAAAAAGGUCCUGUGGAUUUAGAUACCACCACACACAAAUGCUGUUGUUGGAAGGUACCUGCCCAGAUAAGGACUGCAUUUCCUCUAGCAUCCAGAUGGGACCAAAUGACUGCUGGCCAAUAGAAGUGAGUGGAAAGGACUGACUCCAGUUCCAGGUUGGGCCUCCAACUGCUCUGGGCACGUCGAUGGAACAGAACACCACCUCCACCCCAAUACCACCAAUUCAACUUUACAUGAAUUAUAAGCGAGAAAUAACUUGGACUGUGUUAAGUCAUUGAGUUUCUGGGGUUUAACUGUUAUUAUAGUUAAGAAUGACUUUAACUAAUAUAGUCAAUGACAUCUAACUGGAGUUAUGAAAUUCAAUUUCUACUUAGAGUAAUUGAAGCAAAGGUUGUGGGGGAGGGGAGGAGGGCAGCACACCAUGAAAUCAGAGAUCCCCAGUACGUGUUAGUUCAUCAGUCAAUCAGUCUUAAGGUCAGGGUGUAGUGUGGGCAGCAGUUGCCUCCCUCUCCCCACAGAACACCCUGAGAAUAGGAAGUUAGAGUAGUCGCAUCUUAUUACUUACAAAACAUUACCUCAAAAUGCAAACUACCCCCUGGACCCAAACUCUCUACAAUCACCAGGUUCCAUAAACUAUAAUCUACUCUGUUUUCUGGAAGAAAAUAUUAACCUGUUAAAAUUCCCUGCACAGAGAGGAAACUUUUUCUGGGAGGUAUUCCUGAACUCAUUUUGCCAACUUCCAGAUGAACAAAACUAAAGUUUCUUUUUGCUUCUUCCAAAAACAUAAAUUAUCAAAUAACAUUUAUAACUUGAAAAAGAAUCCUAGAAUAUUUUCAUGAAUAAUAAUUAGAAGAGUAAUGUUCACAUGGGAAGGGCGUCUUUUCUCUGCUGUGUGCAUAGGACCCUGGGACCCUGGGAUUUAAGUCAUAUGGAACUUGGUCAACUCCUCCAAAAUGCUCCCAGCGCUCACAGGGGCUGCCUUGGUGUUUGGAAGGAGGUGGUGCCAAAGCAGUUGGUUUGCUGGAUUUUGACUUUCUUUUUUUAAAGUGGUAUUUGCAAAUACUACCCCGAGGGCAAUGGUUAAUGGAUUUGACCUUUGGGUCAUGGGGGCCAGGGAGCAGCACUCAUAGAAGCUGUGUGUGUGUGUGUUGCGGGGCGGGGGCGGGCUGCUGACUGGCUCUGCCACUCACCUCUCAGGCCUUAGGAAUACUGAAGAUUCUCACCUACGAUUGGUGGCGAUGGUGGGAGUGGUCCUUAAAACUGCUUUAUAGAAAAUCAUAGUGGAGGCCAGGCGCCGUGGCUCAUGCCUGUAAUCCCAGCACUUCGGGAGGCCGAGAUGGGCGGACCACGAGGUCAGGAGAUCAAGACCAUCCUGGCUAACACGGUGAAACCCCGUCUCUACUAAAAAUACAAAAAAAUUAGCCGGGUGUGGUGGCUGACGCCUGUAGUCCCAGCUACUCUGAAGGCUGAGGCAGGAGAAUGGCGUGAACCCAGGAGGCGGAGCUUGCAGUGAGCCGAGAUCGUGCCACUGCACUCCAACCUGGGCGACAGAAGGAGACUCCGUCUCAAAAAAAAAAAAAAAAGAAAGAAAAAGAAAAAAGAAAAUCAUAGCGGAACAGACCAGGAUGACCACUGAUCGGCCAAGGUGAACCUGGACUCAAAGUUCUACAGCAAAGGCUGUCCACAACACUACUUACUACUCACUACUCACAAGAGCUUCUAGUUGGCAUCCUCAAACCAGAGAGCAGUUGUACUGGGGGUAAGGCACUGCUAGGGUUCUCUGUAGGACACACAUGAGAUGUUAAGGAAUCUAGCUGUGGGCAAUACAGAGAUGAGAAAUAGGUGGCUACAAUCAGUCAGGUGAGAGGUAGCACAGUGUAGGGAUAGCAGGCUUUGAAAUUUUUAACAGACCUGGGUUCAACUCCUAGUUUUGCCACACUGUUUUUCUGGGUGGUCUUGAACAAGUUCUUUCUCUAAUCCUCCCCAUCUAUAAUUGGGUCUGAACACUUACCAUACCACCCAGCACUGCUGUGAGCAUUCAAUAAAAUAGCACGUCUGAUAAGAAGAAGGCACUUGAUCAAGGAAGGGCAGCCACAGAAGCCUUCGUGCCAUGGUUAGUGGAACUCAGAGAGAAGGGUUCUGUAUGUCCCAGUUGUUU
rnacentral:lncRNA from 1 species